rfam:TPA: Bos taurus chromosome 5, whole genome shotgun sequence.
UUCCUGGUUGUCCAGUGGUUAGGAAUCUGCCUUCCAAUGCAGAGGACACAGGUUCAAUCCCUGGCCGGGAAA